CAAUAGCGUAUAUUAAAGUUGUUGCAGUUAAAAAGCUCGUAGUUGAACCUUGGGCCUGGCUGGCCGGUCCGCCUCACCGCGUGCACUGGUUCGGCCGGGCCUUUCCCUCUGGGGAACCGCAUGCCCUUUACUGGGUGUGCCGGGGAACCAGGACUUUUACUGUGAAAAAAUUAGAGUGUUCAAAGCAGGCCUAUGCUCGAAUACAUUAGCAUGGAAUAAUAGAAUAGGACGUGUGGUUCUAUUUUGUUGGUUUCUAGGACCGCCGUAAUGAUUAAUAGGGACAGUCGGGGGCAUCAGUAUUCAAUUGUCAGAGGUGAAAUUCUUGGAUUUAUUGAAGACUAACUACUGCGAAAGCAUUUGCCAAGGAUGUUUUCAUUAA
rnacentral:rRNA from 1 species